rnacentral:rRNA from 1 species
GACGAACGCUGGCGGCGUGCCUAAUACAUGCAAGUAGAACGCUGAAGCUUGGUGCUUGCACCGAGCGGAUGAGUUGCGAACGGGUGAGUAACGCGUAGGUAACCUGCCUGGUAGCGGGGGAUAACUAUUGGAAACGAUAGCUAAUACCGCAUAAGAGUAUAUGUUGCAUGACAUUUGCUUAAAAGGUGCAAUUGCAUCACUACCAGAUGGACCUGCGUUGUAUUAGCUAGUUGGUGAGGUAACGGCUCACCAAGGCAACGAUACAUAGCCGACCUGAGAGGGUGAUCGGCCAAACUGGGACUGAGACACGGCCCAGACUCCUAAGGGAGGCAGCAGUAGGGAAUCUUCGGCAAUGGACGGAAGUCUGACCGAGCAACGCCGCGGGAGUGAAGAAGGGUUUCGGAUCGUAAAGCUCUGUUGUAAGAGAAGAACGAGUGUGAGAGUGGAAAGUUCACACUGUGACGGUAGCUUACCAGAAAGGGACGGCUAACUACGUG